rnacentral:rRNA from 1 species
GAUGAACGCUGGCGGCGUGCCUAAUACAUGCAAGUCGAGCGAAUGGAUUAAGAGCUUGCUCUUAUGAAGUUAGCGGCGGACGGGUGAGUAACACGUGGGUAACCUGCCCAUAAGACUGGGAUAACUCCGGGAAACCGGGGCUAAUACAGGAUAACAUUUUGAACCGCAUGGUUCGAAAGUGAAAGGCGGCUUCGGCUGUCACUUAUGGAUGGACCAGCGUCGCAUUAGCUAGUUGGUGAGGUAACGGCUCACCAAGGCAACGAUGCGUAGCCGACCUGAGAGGGUGAUCGGCCACACUGGGACUGAGACACGGCCCAGACCCCUACGGGAGGCAGCAGUAGGGAAUCUUCCGCAAUGGACGAAAGUCUGACGGAGCAACGCCGCGUGAGUGAUGAAGGCUUUCGGGUCGUAAAACUCUGUUGUUAGGGAAGAACAAGUGCUAGUUGAAUAAGCUGGCACCUUGACGGUACCUAACCAGAAAGCCACGGCUAACUACGUGCCAGCAGCCGCCGUAA